rnacentral:rRNA from 1 species
GAACGACUCUCGGCAACGGAUAUCUCGGCUCUUGCAUCGAUGAAGAACGUAGCGAAAUGCGAUACUUGGUGUGAAUUGCAGAAUCCCGUGAACCAUUGAGUCUUUGAACGCAAGUUGCGCCCUAGGCCGUUAGGCCGAGGGCACGUCCGCCUGGGUGUCACGCUU